UUUCUCUGAUCUAUGUAUGAUGGUACGAUCAGAGCUGCUUUUAAUUAACAUGAUCCCUUGCUUUGGCUUGACAAGGAUCUAGUCUUAUACACAAUGGUAAGCCAGUGGUAGUAAAGGUAUAAGAAAUUUGCUACUAUGUUACUGAACCUAGGUGAACGCUAGUAUAACUCAUUACAAAUGUGCUGGAGUAAUCAAAGAUCGCAUUGACGAGCCAACAAUGGAAGAGCCAGUCAUUUGUCUUGAGACCUAUCUAGUUAGUAACUGCUAAUGGAACGGUUUCGAUAUGGAUACAC
rfam:Human coronavirus 229E, complete genome.